rnacentral:rRNA from 1 species
UACGGAGGGUGCAAGCGUUAUCCGGAUUCACUGGGUUUAAAGGGAGCGCAGGCGGAUUGGUAAGUCAGUGGUGAAAGGCCUGAGCUUAACUCGGGAACUGCCAUUGAUACUAUCAGUCUUGAAUAUUGUUGAGGUUUGCGGAAUGGGUCAUGUAGCGGUGAAAUGCAUAGAUAUGACCCGGAACACCUAUUGCGAAGGCAGCAGGCUAAACAAAGAUUGACGCUGAGGCUCGAAAGCGUGGGGAUCAAACAGG